rnacentral:pre_miRNA from 1 species
CACUUAAAAAUGCAUAUUGCCGCCUACAGAAGCAUAGAUUUUCACAUACCGAUCUGAAGAGUUUGUGCAAAUCUGUCGCAUCUGUAGGCGGCGAUUAUGCAGUCAUUUGAG